AUCGCCGACGCCGGUUCUGCAACAGUGACGUCGCGGUGAGACGCUUUGGAGAGCGUCCAGACGGCUGUGCCGCUGCAGUUCGGCACGAGAGCCGAUCUUGGCCAGCUGCACCACCAUGCAGCUCGGCAAUUUCACUAACCUUUACUAUAAUCACUUCAUUACUCAUAUGUAACUCUUUUGCUUGUAUUUUUGAGUAGUUGUUUGAAAAUGAGCCCACGAUGACAGCUACGACGGAGGAGGACCGAUGCCGUUAAGUUCACCAUGGCUUGAAUGUUCAACCUAAUCCAGCUACCCCACCGGGAUAUCGGCAUCUAAUGACCUGGAGAAGCUUUUAUCCCCCGUGCUAGCAAGCCUCUGAUCAAGGCAGCCGCUGGACUAGCCUGACAUCUACCAUGGGCAACUGUUUCACGUUCGUCUUGUGUGUCGAGAAGAACCUGGACGUACACGACACCAAUUCUCAGCUCCAAGGCCCAGUGGCGUACUCUUCUCCAUUUUGUACAAUUUUUAUAUAUGGAAAGUUAUAGUAGUUUUUAAGUUCUAGGAUUAAGAAAGGAAAACGAAGAGUCCGUCACUGAUGAUGGUGAUAUUUUGGGCUUAUGUAUUGCUUUACUAACACUUAUUGUUUUUGUUUUUGAACCCUCUGGUUGUAGAUUUUUAAGCGUUGAAGAGCAAUAUUUAAUGAUUAUAGGAAAGUUAGGUUUAGAGAAGUUAUUUUCAAUACUAGAUAUUUACAAUUUUGGGUACCUUCCUGUAAUUACGGUUACUUGGGGUGCUUAUGAUAUACCAAAAAUUACUUUAGUGAUCUGAAAGGUAUUAAGCAUGACUUUGUCUAUAUUUCUACGAAGUAUAAGUGGUUUUUUGUACAAAAUAAACACGCUCUUAACAAGAUUUUGAACAGAGUUUAUUUACUUUUUAAUUGGUCAUUAAGUUUAAGGCAUACAAUGUCCACAAUAGUAAAAAUACAUUCCUUGACAAAAGUAAGAACAACUUAAGUAAAUUUUUAUUCAUUUUUAACUAUACACUCUGUAAAAUAAGUACACUCUAUAAAAAAACAUAAAGUGUUUGGUUAACGAUCUUACUAUAUAGUUCAUGAACGUAUUAUCUGGAUAAUUUGGAAACACCUCUACCAAAUUUAUUAUGCACAUCUACAGAACAUUUAUUAGGCCCGAUAUCGAUUACAAGGCAUGUCUCUAUGCAUCACUAAACAAACGCCAAAAUCUUUUCAUCUUGGCCACUGAAAGAAAAA
rnacentral:lncRNA from 1 species